GGAUCCUACUGUCUCCCCCCUCUAAUCAGUGAAACUGAUCUCCCCGUGAAGAAGCGGGGAUAUACAUAUAAGACGAGAAGACCCCAUGGAGCUUUAAACCUGACAGCACCCGCUCAUUCUAUACCCCAUUAUUUGCCCGACCCCUGUCUGCUCAGUUUUAGGUUGGGGUGACCACGGAGUAUAAAAUAACCUCCAUGAAGAAGGGGAUAUUUCCCUUAUUAGAGAACCACACUUCCAAGAACUAAUAAAUUAAUUUUCAAUGACCCGAUACCCGAUAAUCGAUCAACGAACCAAGUUACCCUGGGGAUAACAGCGCAAUCCACCCUGAAAGCCCUUAUUAACAGGUGGGUUUACGACCUCGAUGUUGGAUCAGGGUAUCCCAGUGGUGCAGCAGCUACUGAGGGUUCGUUUGUUCAACGAUUAAAACCCU
rnacentral:rRNA from 1 species